GACGAACGCUGGCGGCGUGCUUAACACAUGCAAGUCGAACGGAAAGGCCCUGCUUUUGUUGGGUGCUCGAGUGGCGAACGGGUGAGUAACACGUGAGUAACCUGCCCUUGACUUUGGGAUAACUUCAGGAAACUGGGGCUAAUACCGGAUAUGAGCUCCUGCUGCAUGGUGGGGGUUGGUAAGUUUCGGCGGUUGGGGAUGUACUCGCGGCUUAUCAGCUUGUUGGUGGGGUAGUGGCUUACCAAGGCUUUGACGGGUAGCCGGCCUGAGAGGGUGACCGGCCACCUUGGGACUGCGAUACGGACCAGACUCCUACGGGAGGCAGCAGUGGGGAAUAUUGCACAAUGGGCGGAAGCCUGAUGCAGCAACGCCGCGUGCGGGAUGACGGCCUUCGGGUUGUAAACAGCUUUCGACUGUGCCGAAGCGUGAGUGACGGUAAUGGGUAAAGAAGCACCGGCUAACUACGUG
rnacentral:rRNA from 1 species